GACGAACGCUGGCGGCGUGCUUAACACAUGCAAGUCGAACGGAAAGGCCCUGCUUUUGUGGGGUGCUCGAGUGGCGAACGGGUGAGUAACACGUGAGUAACCUGCCCUUGACUUUGGGAUAACUUCAGGAAACUGGGGCUAAUACCGGAUAGGAGCUCCUGCUGCAUGGUGGGGGUUGGAAAGUUUCGGCGGUUGGGGAUGGACUCGCGGCUUAUCAGCUUGUUGGUGGGGUAGUGGCUUACCAAGGCUUUGACGGGUAGCCGGCCUGAGAGGGUGACCGGCCAAAUUGGGACUGAGAUACGGCCCAGACUCCUACGGGAGGCAGCAGUGGGGAAUAUUGCAAAAUGGGCGGAAGCCUGAUGCAGCAACGCCGCGUGCGGGAUGACGGCCUUCGGGUUGUAAACCGCUUUCGCCUGUGACGAAGCGUGAGUGACGGUAAUGGGUAAAGAAGCACCGGCUAACUACGUG
rnacentral:rRNA from 1 species